rnacentral:rRNA from 1 species
UGGGGAAUAUUGGGCAAUGGGGGGAACCCUGACCCAGCAACGCCGCGUGAAGGAAGAAGGUUUUCGGAUUGUAAACUUCUGUCCUUGGUGAAGAGGAAGAGACGGUAGCCAAGGAGGAAGCAACGGCUAACUACGUGCCAGCAGCCGCGGUAAUACGUAGGUGGCAAGCGUUAUCCGGAUUUACUGGGUGUAAAGGGCGCGUAGGCGGGCAUGCAAGUCAGAUGUGAAAUUUAUGGGCUUAACCCAUAACCUGCAUUUGAAACUGUGUGUCUUGAGUGAUGGAGAGGUAAGUGGAAUUCCUAGUGUAGCGGUGGAAUGCGUAGAUAUUAGGAGGAACACCAGUGGCGAAGGCGACUUACUGGACAUUAACUGACGCUGAGGCGCGAAAGCGUGGGGAGCAAACAGG